AAGCAGCAUGGACAAUUAGGCAGAGCCGACCCUGAAGAUGUGACUCUAUUUUCUAAUAAAAAUAAGUUUCACCCCUCUCUUCAGUUUUGUACCCUGGUUCAUAACGCAUUUUCUGUGUACACCCGUUUUACUCUCAACCUCAAAGCAAAAUCACCUCAUUUUUCCUCCGAGGUGGCUCAGGGCUUUCCACUCAGCAUUUUCCUCUCAUACCGCUCCUUCACCUCCCCCAGCCCCGGCCGCUGCCCCCGCCCAGGCGCCCCGGCGCUCCCGCCCUGGCACAGCCGCUCCUGGGACCCCCGCGCACCCGCCCGCUCCGUGCUCGCGCCGCCGGGACUGCGGGCCGCCGGGGCCCCGACGCCUCGCCCAGCCCAGGCCGCUCCGCCGUGUCCCGGGGCUGCUCUCCGCCCUCCCCACAGCCGGCCGCUCACCCCGACCCUCAGCCCCGCGCCCAGGGCCGCGGGCCCCACGCUCCCCGCCGAGGGGCCCCAGCGCUUCCGGCCGAACACCGCCGGCCCGGCGCCUCGCCGCGUUAGGUCAUCUCCUUGGGCCGGGGCGGGGCGGCGGCCGCCCCCGGGGCCGCCCCGACCUGCCGCCCCCGCGGGGCCGCCGCCCCCGCCCGCCGCGCCGGCCCCAGCCCUGCCGGCUCGGCUCGCCGCGCCGCGCCUAAUGUCGCCGGAGUUAAUGAGCGACCGCCACCCGUCGUGGGGCGCCGGGAGAGGCAGCGCCAAGUCGCCGCGGGGCCGGGGAGCCCCGCGCAGCCUCCGCGACGCCCAAAGCGGGGAACGGGUGGGAGAGGAGCCCCCGUCCCCUGUCCCUGUCCCCUCCACCGCCCCCCUUAGGGGCGCCGGGGGCACAAGGUCAGGGCACACAGACAGAGAUGUGGACUUCUUACACGGGGCAGUCAUAGCACUCGGGGGAGGCCCCAAAGCACCACAGACACCGUGCAGCUUCUCAGACACAGCCUGGAUGCGGGUGGUCGUGCAACACAGAAGCCCUCGGAGGGUUACGCCCCCAGCGUGA
rnacentral:lncRNA from 1 species